GACGAACGCUGGCGGCGUGCUUAACACAUGCAAGUCGAACGGAAAGGCCCUGCUUUUGUGGGGUGAUCGAGUGGCGAACGGGUGAGUAACACGUGAGUAACCUGCCCUUGACUUUGGGAUAACUUCAGGAAACUGGGGCUAAUACCGGAUAGGAGCUCCUGCUGCAUGGUGGGGGUUGGAAAGUUUCGGCGGUUGGGGAUGGACUCGCGGCUUAUCAGCUUGUUGGUGGGGUAGUGGCUUGCCAAGGCUUUGACGGGUAGCCGGCCUGAGAGGGUGACCGGCCACAUUGGGACUGAGAUACGGCCCAGACGCCUACGGGAGGCAGCAGUGGGGAAGAUUGCACAAUGGGCGGAAGCCUGAUGCAGCAACGCCGCGUGCGGGAUGACGGCCUUCGGGUUGUAAACCGCUUUCGCCUGUGACGAAGCGUGAGUGACGGUAAUGGGUAAAGAAGCACCGGCUAACUACGUG
rnacentral:rRNA from 1 species